rnacentral:lncRNA from 1 species
UUUCAAUUAUUUUUGCUUAAGAGGGACAUUGUCGGUAUUUCCCUGUUUGUUGCUGCAUUGCUGAAUUAGUUAUGUGUUUUCUCAUUGUUUGUUGAUUUUUUUUUUCUUUUCUAUUGAGUUUAACAUGGUUGACCAAAGAACUCUGAGAGAACUUGUUUCCCCUGAUGUUAAUUAUAAUGCUUUGUGUAUUGAAUGUCAUGUUGUUGUUCUACCUUUCAAAUUGAAAUCUGG